rnacentral:rRNA from 1 species
GAUGAACGCUGGCGGCGUGCCUAAUACAUGCAAGUCGAGCGAAUGGAUUAAGAGCUUGCUCUUAUGAAGUUAGCGGCGGACGGGUGAGUAACACGUGGGUAACCUGCCCAUAAGACUGGGAUAACUCCGGGAAACCGGGGCUAAUACCGGAUAACAUUUUGAACCGCAUGGUUCGAAAUUGAAAGGCGGCUUCGGCUGUCACUUAUGGAUGGACCCGCGUCGCAUUAGCUAGUUGGUGAGGUAACGGCUCACCAAGGCCACGAUGCGUAGCCGACCUGAGAGGGUGAUCGGCCACACUGGGACUGAGACCCGGCCCAGACUCCUACGGGAGGCAGCAGUAGGGAAUCUUCCGCAAUGGACGAAAGUCUGACGGAGCAACGCCGCGUGAGUGAUGAAGGCUUUCGGGUCGUAAAACUCUGUUGUUAGGGAAGAACAAGUGCUAGUUGAAUAAGCUGGCACCUUGACGGUACCUAACCAGAAAGCCACGGCUAACUACGUGCCAGCAGCCGCAGUAA